UCGGUCAAGAGAUGGAAGAGCCAGCACCCUAUUGCCCUUAUCUCCAGACCGAGCUCUCUGGGGUCCUCGGGGAUUUCGGAAAUAUGCUAGUCAACUUUUCUCACGCUGCUCAGUCUGGGCAAUCGUUUGAAACCUGGGGAGGACAUUUAAAGGACAUUUCAUCCAGUCCUCCCUGUGCCCUUUGCAGUGAGGACUUCCCUGGUGGGAGCAACGAGGUCAAUCUGAAAUUUCAAAAGUUGAGGAAGAGAAACAUCUUGUGCUAAAUUUUUCACGCUUUUCUCUUCUUCUGUUCCCUUCUCUUUUCCAACCGGUAUAGAUCUGAAAAGUUUGGGGGAAAUGUAGGACAGAAAAAAAAAAAGGUGCCUUUUUUUAACCUUCUACUCUUUUGCGAUAGGAUUACCUUAUGAGCUGAACUGUGUUAUCAGGUCACAGACUGAUUUCCCAGAUUUAAAAAAUAAUCACUGUAAUUCAUUUUGCUGUUCUCAAAUAUACCCCUAAAGCCUUACACUUUAUUAGCCUGCUGCUUCUCCUCUUGCAGUCUCAUCUUGCAGUCCAUUUAGAUAUGACUUUAGAAAAGCACUUGUUUUGGUCAGAAAUCAGAAAAAUUUCAUACAAAAAAUUUGUGAAUCUUAAAAACAGCAAAUUUACAGACAGACAAUUUGGGUAGGGAAUGGAAUUUGGAGAAACAUCUUGAAAUGAGCUUUGCCAUUUCUGUACAUGUGGUCGUGGUCUUCUUUAGUCUGAUUUAGUCUCAGCCUAAGCUGAGAAGGAGGGAUCUUGCAGAGAAGAACAAGGAAUAGGGAUAGAUAUAUGAUGUAUUCAACUAGUUUGAAAUUUGGGCUAGUUAUUAAGUGCCAGACCUAUGUGUGCCAGGAGAGGGUAGCAAAUGUUGAAUAUUAGAAUGCAGGCAGCUGUAUCUGUCUCCCCAUCUGGAAAUGUAGUGUAUAAUACUUUGUUUCGACAUUUUUCUUUCAGGGACCUAACACAAUCGUGAUCUGCAUGGUCAUCUUAUUGAACAUUGGUCUGGCCAUCUUAUUUGUACAUUUUUUGACAUGAUGCGCCCCUCAGGCAAGGCGUUGCUGCUGAUGGAGACCACGGACCUUGGCAGGGAUUAAACUCUCAGCCACCUGGAAACAUCUGAGAGGAGGGCUUGAGAUCCCAAGGUUGCACUGCAAACAUGAACCUUAAACGAAAGCUCCUGAAGAUCUGUUCAGCCUCCCUGCUCCCAGUCUGUGGCUGGCCUCUGCAAUCUACCAAGAAAAAGCCAGGAUUUCUGCAAUUCAGCCUCCUUCUCUUCUUUGUAUGAAAUAACAGUUGCCUUAAAUUGAUAUCACCAAAGCCAUCAACUGUCCUAUCGUUCCAGGGAUGAGGGAUUUAUCUGUAGCUGUAGGAAAAUGGAUGAAGGUCUCAUCCAUGCACACUCAGAAGUGUUUUUUAACUCCCUUAUUUGACUCUGUGUCAGAGAUUUCCCAAAGAAAAUCGUCCGUGUCCUGGAGAUGAAGCAAUAUACAGCAACCAAAAUGACUCGUGAGAGCCACGCCACGGCUGGGGAUGGACAGCGCAGCUCUCUGCACUCGGAAGUCCCCCAAAGGGCCGAACAAAAAGCCUUCCCUUUCCCUGUUGCCUGGAAUUGUUUUCUGCCUAUAGAGGAUUGAGAGGGGGAGCAAGUGAAGUUGGACAUGUUGAAGUGUAAGCAGACUCCAGCAGGAUCCCCUGAUGUGCCUGCGGAGGAGCCACGGGCAGGGGCUGCACUGUGCGGGCUCGCGGGACCGGCGAAGCCAGGGCUACCCAUGUGAGCGGGGAGUGCCGCGGGGAGACGGGGCCCCGCAGGGACCAGGCACCCUGCCAGCUCUCUCUUGUCGCCACCAACUGUCCUUGCAGGAGCAUCUUGCCGCAGGUUGCAUCCUGCUGUGAUUGGAAAGGAAAUAGAUAAAUGUGCUGAAUUUGCCCCUUCUCCCCUUUUUCUAUGAAAACAGUGCAAGUUAUGAUUAAAAGGAGGUGGCUCACAGAAAAGCAGCCUGCACACCCACAGGUUGCUCCCUGUCGAAGCCCCAGCCAAGUUUCGCCAAGGCGGUGAGCUGACUUUCCAGCCAGUGGAUGCGGGAUUACCGUCGUGGGAGUGGUUAGGUUAUUCCUGAAAGCAAAAAGGUGCAGAAACCUGAGUGUAUUUGGGUGUUAGGCUGAAAAGUAUGCAGCAGCCAGACUUUGAUCAGUGGUUGAGUAUGGAGGGGAAAUUCUGGCUGCUGUUCUUGCAUGAGAGACUUAGAGGCCUUGGCAAGACACACUGCUCCUUCCCAAGAGCUGCAACAGAGAGCGACAUUUGAAGGGAAAUGUUUCCACCCUGAUCUGCUCUGACCCUUAGUAGUGCGAACUUAGAAAUAUCGGCACAGAUGAAGUUAGUUUAGUGUGAGGCUGAGCGCUUGGACGUGUUUCUUUCUUCUUAAAAGCAAUAUAUAUUUUAUAUCCCUUUUUAAGAUAAUCAGAAAUGUUAUUUAUAGUCAGUUGUGCACCUCUGUAUCCUGAAGUCCCACAGUGCAGAACAGGCUGAGAAAACCUGAGGGACUGGAAAGAGAGGGGAAAAGAUGGAUGAGGAAAAACAGAUACCCAGUCUGCUCCAAAUGCUAAUCUGAAAGGAUUUCAAAGACAGUGUGGCAGACAGGCAGGGGUUUACACUGCCUAGAGACACAGGGCAAAACCUAAUUUAUCUCCUCUAAUUAUGCCGUAAGAGAGUGAGAAUAAUUCAGUACUCUUUGUGAACCAAGUUUAUUUUUUAGCCUUAUUUAGCUCAGGAAUGUUGGCACAGUCGCAAAUACGUGGUGUUAACUGUGGGAGAAGUGAAUGCGAUCCCUUUCUAAAAGCCACGCGGCUGUACCAGUCCUGAAAAAGCUGCGCAGCAUCAUCUGCGCUUCCACAGAGCAUAGUUUAGUAGCAGUUUGCUUCUUUCUUUUUCUUUUCUUGAAUAUAAGUGUAUUAUGAACCCAGGCUCCAUUGCUUUACCCCUGUUUGCUGGCACUCACUUGCCAGCUCUGCAGUUUCAGUAUGCCAGCUGCUUUCAUUAACUACCAAUACGAUUUCUGUUGAGAGACCUGAGGGGCCUUUAUUUCUCACUAAGCAUAAAAAUGGAUCUUUUUCAACAAUGCUAAGGCAAUUCCCCCCUCCCGCCCCAGUUUUGUAUGCAUGUGAUGUGCGCUCGGUUAUGUGCUUUCUUCCUAGGAACGUUCUGAGAAAAGUAGGUAGAUUUGCUUUUAUGUGACGUAUAAAUAUAUCCAUAUUGCACUAAGAUAUGGAUAUAUAUAAAUAAAUAUAUAGCCCCUUAGGGAUUUUGUUUUCUUAGAUGCAGAAUAACAACUUUACCUCAAAGUGCAUGAUUUCAAAACUGACGAGGAUAUGGUGUUAAACUUUUCAGGUCUUACGAAGGUGCAGAUACAUUUCACUCUUCACAAGAAAUAUCACAGAUUUUGCAAGCCGUUUACUACCAUCUGUGUAAUACUGUCCAGAGUUUUCUGUCGGUUGUUCUGCUGGAUUAUGUGCAAUAAUAAACAGUUAUCUGCGCACUGUA